ensembl:lncRNA
UAGCCACAUAUUUCGCUUUCUGAGUGAAGAUGUCCAGCCAUUUAGCGUUCAAGGAGUUCAGUGAACCUGCAUGGGAGACCCGUGGACCAGAGGAUGAUUUGACUAAGGGCCCUUGCUUGACUAAUGUAGGAACCAGAGGAGUUUCAGUAACCUGCUAGGAAAGCUGCUGCUGCUGUCGGGCUUCUCUCAGAAUAUCAAUGAUGCUCACUGCAGACACACAGACAGGGCUGUCACAUGACUCUGCCCUGAAGGCUUACCUGAGGACGACAGCGGGCCCAGUCUUACCUCAGAAAUUAUCGGGGGAGAUCAUUUAUAAUACACAACUGGUGUAUCCAACAUGCCUCCAGUAGGAAAAGAGGGCAGGACAAUCAUCCACCGGGACAUUCAUCCACCAGGACAUUCAUCCACCAGUACAUUCAUCCACCGGGACAUUCAUCCACCAGGACAUUCAUCCACAAGGACAUUCAUCCACCGAGACAUGAAUCCACCGGGACAUUCAUCCACCAGGACAUUCAUCCAAAAGGACAUUCAUCCAAAAGGACAUUCAUCCACCGAGACAUAAAUCCACCGGGACAUUCAUCCACCGAGACAUUCAUCCACAAGGACAUUCAUCCACAAGGACAUUCAUCCACCGGGACAUUCAUCCACCGGGACAUUAAUCCACAAGGACAUUCAUCCACCUGCACAUUCAUCCACCUGGACAUUCAUCCAC